GGAGGAAAGGAGAGAGAAAUAGAAAGAAUAGAGAUAAAGGAAAACUGAAUGAGGGAGUGUUGAGGGAGUAAGAAAGGGGAAGGGAAAUGGGGGAGUCUGCAGAUGGGAUGAGGUUUCUUUGGGGAACUAAUGGGGACAGUCUAGAAUUAGUGAUGAUGACCACAUUAACUCUAGGGAGAAAGAAAAGGAGGGAUAGGAGAGGGGAGAGAAUGGAAGAGAAAGACUGGAAGAGAGGGAAGGAGGGAAGCAAGUGAGUGAGAGAAGAGAACCCAGAGAGAUAUGUGACAGAGAAGGACAGAGAGGGACUUGUGGGGGAGCAAAGAGAAAAGGGGAACUGGGAGGAGUCAGCGAGAAAUGGAGGUUGCACCUGGCACAAAGAUGUCCCUGCUCUUUCUGUCCUGAUUACUGUAGUAGCCUGCCCUCCUUCGCUCCUGUCUCUGACUCCCUGCAGACCUGAUUGUCACAGCAACUUACUAAAAUACUAACUUUGUCUCAUGAGCCUGCUGACUGAGAAAUCUUCCUGACUUGAUCAUAUCCGUUCUCUAUAUCUUCCAAGCACAGCUCUAACCCAUGCCAAUUCUUUCCCCUGAAUGUGUGCACAGAUGAUGGGAUAAACAAAAUGUUCUGUGUGUGUGCCACGGAACACUACUCAGCCAGGCAAAGGAAUGAAUGGUACUACGUGGAUGAACCUUGAACAUUAUGCUGAAGGAAGGAAGCCAGCCAUGGAAGGCCACACAUCACAGGAUUCCUCACAGGAUGAAAUGUUCAGAAAUGGCAGAUCUGCUUAUGAUGCUCAACAGAGGGACAUAAAGCUGACCAGUGAUCACCUUAAGACAGAGAAGAGGAGAGAGGGGGAGAUGGGGGAGUCUAUAGAUGGGAUGAGGUUUCUUUGGGAGUCUAAUGGGGACAGUCUAGAAUUAGAUGACCACAUUAACUCUGGCUCCACUGGAUUACACUCUGUGAGAGGACAAAUCUCAUGGAACGAGAAUAAAAAUCCUUCUUCGAUUCAAGGUGUGGUAUAAAGUGGCAGACACCAAAGGCUGAACAUAUGCAAUCGGGCACCCUGUCCAUCCAUCAGAGCCAGGCUUGUCACUGUUGCCAUGGGAACAGAGCCAAACAGAUGCUAUUGAGGUUUAAUGCCGUGUCCCAUCCAAGGUCCUUCCACAUCUCUAACCAUGGGUGGGCCUAAAAUCCAUAUACAAUGGGUGACUUAGUAUCUUUUCUGUAGAUUCAGCACAUUACAUGGAAGAUCACAAUCUGUGCUUCCGAGGGGUGUGUGUGUGUGUGUGUGUGUGUGUGUGUGUGUGUGUGUGUGUGAAGGUGUACAGCAAGCCUGGGAGCCUGGGUACCUAUGAGGGAUGGGAACAAAAGGAUAAGCAAAUGUAGAGUAAGACAAGGGCAGUUCAGUGGUCAGGGAGUCUGAUUAACCUAGGCUUCUACACCUAGGCAAGAACACUAAGAUCAAUGCCUGGGAAUAUAUUAACAAUAAUAAGCAUUAGUUAAUAAUAAUAAUUAAUAAUAAUGUUUACUUAUUAUUAUUCCCAUGCAUCAUCAUUAUCACACUAUCCAUGAUUCCCCUUCCAGGGAACCUAACACCUUCUUCUGGCCUCUAGGGGCAACAGGCCCUCAUGUGGUGCACAGAUUCACAGUCAAAACAUGAAGACACAUAAAAGAAUAAAAGAAUAUUUAAAAUGAAAUAAAUAAUGAUGCUACCAACCUAACAGUGGGCAUUGAGUUAUUAUUAUUGCUGCUGCUGCUGCUGUUGUCAUUUUUACUUUACAGCUUAUAUUUAGAGACUGACAGCUGAGGCACUCGCUGUCACAGACCCCACUGCCAAUGUUCCUACUGGGGACUUUCUCCCAGGACACUUUUGAGGACAAGAGAAAAGAAGAAUGGAUUGUAAAAUGUUGGUGCAGACAGCUGUUCCAGCAGGGAUGAACUAGCGAACUACUGCAGAGGGAUGACAGUCUGAAGGCUAGACUGUGUCAUGGGGAGAACCAGCUCCUAAAGCCUCCACCUCAGCACAAGAGAGACUCUGUUGCUUUGUUUUCCUCUGACACAUCUGGUUAUGGGAGCUAUGACAUCAGCUCUGACUACUUGACAUAACCUGAAAUCACCUGGUAAGAGAUACCCGGUGAUGCGUUGCCUACAUUGGCCUGAGGGCGUGUCUGCGGGGGCUUGACAUACUUAAGAGAUGUGCAAAGACAGGGUCCACUGUGGGCAGCACCACUCCCUAGGCAGGAAGGAGGGCCUAAACUGUAAAAGAGCAAAGAAAUCACUAAACCGAGCAAACAAUCAGACAAAUGACUAUGCAUUCAUACAUUUCUCUCUUCCCUCAUGGGCGGAUGUGGUGUGACUAGUUGUUUCAGGUUGUAGCCACUGUGACCUCCCAGAAAUGAUAGACUAUAGCCUGGAGCUUAAAAAAAAAAUCCAUCUUCCCCAAAAGUUUCUUUUUCAUAGGGCAUUUAUGACAGCAACACAGAUAAAACUAGGAGAAAAACAUUAGAAUUUCCUAGGUGAAAAUUAUAUCUGGGUAGGAGAGCUCCAAUGAAAUAGAUCCCGAUUCUCCAGUCUGUUGGGGAUAUAGCCACACCACUUUAUGAGGGGCUCCUAACAUCAGCACUGUAAUCGCCUAUUGUCGCAUGUUAAAGUGGUGACACCUACUGGUGGCAACCAGUAGCACACUUCCCAGGAUUCCUGCUUUUCUGAGGCUUCCUCCCGCAGCAGUGACCCCUCAUUGGGUUAGCCCUGUGACCUUUAUUGUGUCUAUUGGAAUGUCAUAAGGACACACACAUUGGGGUGCCGCCCCCUGUAGACCUCAUGUAGCUCUUGCAGCCUUGAGCCACCAAGUGAAAGGUCCAAUGAUCUAGGUAGAGUCACCACCAGGGAGAAAUGCCUGGCUAGCCUCUGGUUCAUCACACCACCCAGCAGAGGAUCACAUGUGGGUGAAGAUGUCACUAUGGAUAGUCUAGCCCCAGCAACAAUCAGAUUAAACAGAAGACCUGGCCCCAUUCAGCUGUAUACAAUGCUGUAGACAAGGGAAACAUCAUACUAUCGUCUUCUCAAGCCUGCCACAGAUGAUCAACACACUGGUACACAGUUGGAUCUGAGUGAGAUAUGUCAGGCUCAUUAUUAAGGGUUUGUCUCCUUCUUCUAAUGAAAGCAGUGGUGUCUUUAAGCCACCUUUCCAAAAGCCAGACCAAGCUUGGCUGGGGUAGAGUCCCACAUGGCAACAGAAAGCCCAAGGGGCCACAUGCUCCAGUUUCCUUGUGACUCAUGAGAUCCAGGAGCAUGGCUUUAGGGGAAAGGCCAAACUGGGAUUUUCAAUGUCAUGACCAAGGUCCUAAGAGGUUCUAAGUAGGGGAAGCAGGGUCCAACUGUCUGACACGCUGUCUUCCCCGUCACUUCCUGCACUGGUGUUUAAUUAUUGGCAUCACACCAAAACACAAUGUGUUUGGCACCAGAAAUCUGUCCCUGGCUAGUGAUGGUGGAAGCUCCCUGCCUCUGAGGAAAGAGAAAAGUUGGGGAGCCCUGCUUGAGCACCUAACAAACACCACACUGGAUAGAAUGACAACCCCAGCACAGAAACCAGCACCUAGGUCCUCAGGAGGAAGGAGUCCCAUGAAUUAUCUGUAACAUUGGGUAAGUGAGUAUUUUAGGCAUGGGAAUAAAGAAACAGUGGUGUAUCCCUUUAGGGACCAGACGAGGGGCUGGAAGUAUUCCUUCUCAUCCCUCUAUCAGGACUAAGAUUGAAUCCAGUGCAUAAACCAGUCCACUCACUCUGAUGGCCUCAAUUGUCUCAGUUUCCCACCAGAAAAAUGCAAGAAGAGAGAGCCGGGAUGACAUUCCAUCGCACGAACUUUUCGCCUGUGACCUUGAAUGACCAAGAAUAGAAGUCUUGAUAUACAAAUGUAGUUUUCUGUCUCAGUGAGCUGACCGAUUGGUCACACCUACGUUGACACCCUACACCUGUAACUAUGUCAAAUCUGUCAUUAGAUCUGGAUGCCUUCGGCUCUUCCAUGGGAAAAAGACAAGAGACACAGAAAAAUAAAACAGUGUUUGUCCGUUGCUAGAAUAUUCACAUCUAGUGGAUGCUAAGAACAAUUUAAAAAGCCUAAAAUGAGAGUCCUCAAAGCACUGAAGGAUAGUCUGGGAGUCAAGUGUGUUUGAAUAUAUAGGCUUGCAUACCCAGAUACAAGGCAAGGGCAUCCAUCCAGGAGACACAUGCCCUGUCUUCACUAGCUUGGACUGCUAUUCCCUUUUGAGCACCACUGCCUCAGAUCCAUGUUUACCAAAACCCAAGACAGGAUUCACCUGCAGUCAGUCAGGCUUCAGAGAGCUGUUUCUCUGAGAUCCUGACCCGCUCUCUGCCAACUCUGCAGUACUCCAUUGUUCAGCUCCUAGACACUGCAUGGGGACGCGACUGCUCUUCCCACUCAGCCCACUCGAGGUAGGAGAACGAAGCGCAUGAUCAGAGUUUAGGGAUGCUUACGCCAGAACUAGUAUUCUGAAUGUCUACGCCAUUCUAAUGUUUGCAUGGGUAGUAAACCUGCUUCCAUGCCUCUUGCAAGCAGGGAAGCUGAGAACAGAAAGGUGACCUCACUUCCUGAGGUCUCAGCCACUAUCCAGAGCUGCACUGACUGGUGCAGAACAAGAUCUGUGCUGACUCUCAGGUAAGGCUGAAGUCCAUGGAUAUGCACCAUGGACUGUAAGGUGAGGAAACUCUGCCUUUUCCCUGCAUCCUCUGUAGGUCACAGCCAUUAUGAAAGCCACCUGGACAUCAGGCAAAAGACCUGAUCACAGCCUGAAAAGCAGAUAACAAGGCCAGAUGGCAGAGAAGACACUCACUCACUGUCACUGAAAGGGGACACAUUAAGCCCCAGUGUCUUACUCUGAGGCAGGCUGUCUGCAAAGAGGCAGCCCUGCUUGCUGCCUGGGCACCAGUUCCCCCAGGCUAGCCCUGAACCCCAGAAAUACUUAUCUAGAGCAAGGCCUCUCCCCAGUUAGGGCUGAGUCACUCUGUUCUGUGCCUUAGUAGGAAUUUGUCAGCAUUCCUGGUCGCUAUCCAUUAGAUUCACAUGACUAAGGGGUGACAGCCAAAACACCUGCAGACUCUGUAGGAGGACAAAAGUGUCAGGAACUUCUGACCUAGAGCUCAGGGGUUACUGUGCAGUAUGACUCUCUCUAGGAAGUAAGGACAAAGUGGGUGGCGUUGGGUAUCUAGGCAACUAUGGUAGGUUAUAUACUCUUGUCUGGAAGAGCCUCUGGAUUCCAAGGAGGGCUUCAAGGGGCCACGCCACUGAUCAGCAAUCAGCCCAGAAGCCUGAGCACCAUUUCUCAGGGAUAAUUUCCUGGUUCCCUGACCUGAGGCUGGAGAAAUGGGUUGGACAUCAACAGCCUGAACCUUCUAAAUGGGAGAUUUAUGGCACAGGCCUUUGUGAUUUGGCAUCUGUGACAAAUACCAUGAACCUGGAUGCUGGCCCUCCCUUUCUUCAAGCUGAAAAGAAGACUAGCUCUGCAAAUAAGAGUAUGGCAUGAGCAGGAGGGCCUGUGUGGUCCACCCUGGCCCCAGGGUCCACUGCGCUAGCUCUUGACACUGUCUCUCCAUCCUGGUAUUCAUGGCUCCAUCACUGUUUGCUCCAUCUCGCUCUGAGGACUGACCUUAUGACCUCCAAGGACCCAUCUUCCAGACAUCACUGAAGAGUAACUCAAGACACGAUUGCACACUCAUGUCUCAGGAAUUCAGAAUGCCUAUCUCCCCAGGCUGUGUUGGCUGACAGCUAUGCCCAGGUGGAGGAUGGGGGACUGGGGGGAAAGCAGAUCUCUGGUCACUCUUCCACCUCAAUGAGGCCACCGGGUGUCCCCUGGGGAAGGAUGCCACAUGAUUGUAGGAUCCAAGCAGUAACUGGCUGGUGCUGAAUGGGCUCUGUGGAUCAUCAGGUCCGGGGCACUCCCUGUGUCUUUCUGCUCAUCUUGCCCUUCAGUAACCCUUGGCUGUCCCUCUCAGCA
rnacentral:sRNA from 1 species